CGAAAUUGCCCUUAAGAAAUACUAAGUAUGUGAAGCUCAAGUUGAUAAUUAUCUAAGUUCCUAAGUUUUGAAAAUAAAAUGGAAUUUAAUAAGGAUGGAACUUAGAUUUUUAGGUUAAAAUUUUGUGGUUUAGAGUUGGGGAUUGGAAAAGGACCACGUGGGAUCCCCAUUCCUUAUUUCCCUCCCCAUUUCCCGUAUACUGUCCUUCACACUCUCUCUCUCUCCUCCCUCACGAUUACUCUCAGUUCUCUCUCCCUCUCCUUCGAACUCACACGGACCACCACAAAACCACCUAAAACCUAUACCAACGACGAAUCUAACACCACCAUUGGAACCCUGAAGACUUCACGAUCACGAUGGUAUCCAUUUCAAGUAAGUUUUGCUUCGGAAAACCCUAGUUUCAAAGUUCCCGUGAAAUGGUACUGUUCAUGAUCUUUUAAAUGGUUACGAUUUAGGCUAAAACAAGAUCACAGCGAGCUUGGUGAGGUCCCAAGGAAGCUCGGAGUGCUUCGUUGGAAGUUUUUGGACGUAAGAACACGGAGAUCGACAAGUUCAAAGUUUGGCCGGAGCUUUCGAGGCUUUUUCCGGCGAAUCCCCGGCGAGUUAGGAGUCGAGGUAGGUAUCAAUCUCUUCGUCUCGUCAAGUACUACAACUUUCCUUUUUGUUUCACUCAAUUUAGUUGAGUAUUGAAGAAGUUAUACUCAUUUGAAAAAUACCCAGUUUCCGGCGACCUCCGAGGCUUUCGAGGCAGUUUCCGGCCAAAAAACGGCAAACUAGGUGUUGUGCAAGGUACCAUUCUCUUUGUAUAUUCAAGGGCUACAACUUUCGUUUUUGAAUCACUUGAUUUCGUUGAGAAAUGACAAAGUUAUGGCAAUUUGAAAAACUGCCCAGAAAACGGCCGCCGGAAAAACCAGUCCGGCGACCCAAGGAAGAAGAAGGUGCUACAGUAAAAAUAAAAAAUAAAAAUAAAAUUAUUUUAAAAAUAUGUCGACGUCCGUGACGUCGAGUAGAUCACUGUGGUAUAUUCAUAUACCUAAAUUGAACACCGUAUGAGAAAGUUAUUGAGGAUUGUUGGUUAGGUGUUCAAAUAACGUUUUAUAGUUUUCACAUUUAGGUGAAAAUGUGAAUUGAUGAUCCGACCGUUGGAUCAUCACCAAACUUUGAUACGUUGUAAUACGUAAUAUUUUGAGGAUUAUUGGAACUUACGGAUUGGGAAUCCGAGUUACGGAUCUUCCGGAAUUGGAAUUGUAAGUCCAUAAUAUAAAAUGUUAACCGUCACUUAGUUUUGGAAAUUGACGGAGAUCCGACCGUUGGAUGGUAAUGAAAUUUUAGGAUGUUAUCCUAGAGAUAUAUUGUGGACCUCUGGAAGUUAUGGAUUUAAAAUCUGAGUGGCAGAUCUUCCGGAUCGAACUACGUAGUGACGUAUUUUAUAUAAGUUAUAUAUUCUAUCGAUAUGAAUUCUGAGGUUGGAUUUGAUUACUAUUCUAGGCGGCGAUCGUCGUGACGCCUUGAUGUGUGGUGCUAGGGAGUUGUUGGACGAACUCCAGGUGAGUGGGCAGUUUUGUUUUCCGUAUAUAUAUAUAUACUUAUACGUUUUUUCCCAGAAAUUGAAAAUGCAUGAAAUUAUGUUUUAAAAUGAAAUGCAUAUGAGUUAUGUGGAAAAACGGGAAGUGAAAUACCAUGCAUAGAAUUGAUAUGAAAAAAGUAUAUAGAAAUGUGAGUUGAAAUGCCAUGCAUGAAUUAAUAUAUGAUGCAUAUGUAUGAAUUGGUGCGGUGGACGCACAGGUAAGAAUUGAUUUAUGAUGCAUAUGUAUGAAUUGGUGCGGUGGACGCACAGGUAAGAAUUGAUUUAUGAUGCAUAUGUAUGAAAUGGUGCGGUGGACGCACAGAUGAGUAUUUAAUUACUGUUAUGAUGAUGAUGAUAUAUAUUGAGCUCAAAUCCUGCACCAUGGUUUAGUGCUUAUAGUAUUCACCGCAUCGCACGCUCGCCUUGGAUCCAAGUAGAUGCUAGUCGUACAGUCCACGCGGAGUGGGUACGACAGACCAGUCGCGAGAGUGUUAGUGAGAUUCCGACUGGUGGGUGACCUUAGAUUAUGUGCACAGAUGAUUUAUGAGAAGCACUAGAGCGUAACUUGUGUGCAGAAGGCCGGACGGGUCACAGAGGUGACUCCGGUAGAGUGAUAAUGAUAGAUUUUGAGCUCUAGGUUCAACCGUAUAGGGCUAUUAGAGGGCCUACGGUUGAUUACUUUCUUGCACCUGAUAUGAUUAUGUUGAUGCAUUCAUACCUUAUUACUGUUGAGAUGAUGUGGCAUGGCAUAAUUAAUAUGAGAAAUGUUGAGAUGACAUGGCAUGGCAUGAUUGAUAAAGAGAUAAUGUUGAGAUAGUAAAAAAUGAAGUUUUGAGAAUAUAUAUGUAUAUUUAUAUUUUACAUUUCUGGGAAAGUAUACAGGUUUUACGGAGAGGGGUUACAACGUUUUGAGAAAUGUUUGGAUUUGGAAAAGAAUUGUUUUACUGACCCACUCAAUUUUGGUUUUGCGCCCCUCCAGGUUCAGGAAUCACAAAGGUGUGGUGACUACGAGGAAUUCGACGGUGUUCUGACAGAUUGGACAAAAUUAGGACUCACCUUCGGGUGUAUCAACUUAUAAAUUAUAUCUUAAAGCUUCCGUACUGUGCAAAUGGUUACGUCACUCUCACGUGACGGCCUCAGAACACCGUCGAAUUCCUCGUAGUCACCACACCUUUGUGAUUCCUGAACCUGGAGGGGCGCAAAACCAAAAUUGAGUGGGUCAGUAAAACAAUUCUUUUCCAAAUCCAAACAUUUCUCAAAACGUUGUAACCCCUCUCCGUAAAACCUGUAUACUUUCCCAGAAAUGUAAAAUAUAAAUAUACAUAUAUAUUCUCAAGACUUCAAGUCGUUAACUCAACAUUUUCAUACAAUUAUGCCAUGCCACAUCAUCUCAACAUUUCUCAUAUUAAUUAUGCCAUGCCACAUCAUCUCAACAGUAAUAAGGUAUGAAUGCAUCAACAUAAUCAUAUCAGGUGCCAGAAAGUAAUCAAUCGUAGGCCCUCUAAUAGCCCUGUACGGUUGAACCUAGAGCUCAAAAUCUAUCAUUCUCACACUCUGCCGGAGUCACUCCGCGUGACCUGUACGGCCUUCUGCACAUAAGUUACGCUCUAGUGCUUCUCAUAAUCAUCUGUGCACAUAAUCUAAGGUCACCCACCAGUCGGAAUCUCACUAACACUCUCCCGACUGGCCUGUCGUACCCACUCCGCGUGGACUGUACGACUAGCAUCUACUUGGAUCCAAGACGAGCGUGCGAUGCGGUGAAUACUAUAAGCACUAAACUAUGGUGCAGGAUUUGAGCUCAAUAUACAUCAACAUCAUCAUAACAGAAAUAAAUACUCACAUGUGCGUCCACCGCACCAUUUCAUACAUAUGCAUCAUAAAUCAAUUCUUACCCGUGCGUCCACCGCACCAAUUCAUACAUAUGCAUCAUAAAUCAAUUCUUACUUGUGCGUCCACCGCACCAAUUCAUACAUAUGCAUCAUAAAUCAAUUCUUACCUGUGCGUCCACCGCACUAAUUCAUACAUAUGCAUCAUAUAUUAAUUCAUGCAUGGCAUUUCAACUCACAUUUCUAAAUACUUUUCAUAUCAAUUCUAUGCAUGGUAUUUCACUUCCCGUUUUUCCACAUAACUCAUAUGCAUUUCAUUUUAAACAUAUUUUCAUUUCAAUUCAAUUUUUGGGAAACGUCAAGUAUAUAUAUAUACGGAAAACAAAACUGCCCACUCACCUGGAGUUCGUCCAACAACUCCCUAGCACCACACAUCAAGGCGUCACGACGAUCGCCGCCUAGAAUAGUAAUCAAAUCCAACCUCAGAAUUCAUAGUGAUAGAAUAUAUAACUUAUAUAAAAUACGUCACUACGUAGUUCGAUCCGGAAGAUCUGCCACUCAGAUUUUAAAUCCAUAACUUCCAGAGGUCCACAAUAUAUCUCUAGGAUAACAUCCUAAAAUUUCAUUUCCAUCCAACGGUCGGAUCUCCGUCAAUUUCCAAAAAUAAGUGACGGUUAACAUUUUAUAUUAUGGACUUACAAUUCCAAUUCCGGAAGAUCCGUAACUCGGAUUCCCAAUCCGUAAGUUCCAAUAAUCCUCAAAUAUUACGUAUUACAACGUAUCAAAGUUUGGUAACGAUCCAACGGUAGGACUCACCUUCGGGUGUAUCAAUUUAAAUUGUAUCUUAAAGCUUCCGUACUGUGCAAAUGGUUACGUCACUCUCACGUGACGGCCAGCAUGCCCUCCUUCGGGACGGGGUGUGUCAGUUGGUAUCAGAGCAUGGUUGCAAUCUUGGACAUUUUGAGAAGUUCUAGUGAAUUCUGUCAGAACUACACCGCCUCGUAGCAAACCACGUAGUUAGAGGAACUUAGUCUCCCUGAUUUAGCGGGUUAGGGGAAACUAUUCUUAUGGUGAUUCAGUAUAUUAGAAAAAUGGACAUUUUAAGACGGGUUAUGAGUUGAAUUUGAAUCACUUAAGAGAAAUGAUGAACCUGAGGGAACAAAGUGACGGAUUAACCAAUUGGAAAAGAUGUUUCGGAAUAUGCAAGUCAAAGGAAUCUUCCUUCUGACAAGGGGUCGAGACGACUACCUGGUUUUGGUUAUGAAUUUGUAUCCUGGUGGAAACAGGAGUAUGAAUUGUUGUCACCAGAGGAAUCAGUCGAUUGAGAAUAGUUUAAGGAAUAUUUAUAUUUUACAUUUCUGGGAAAGUAUACAGGUUUUACGGAGAGGGGUUACAACGUUUUGAGAAAUGUUUGGAUUUGGAAAAGAAUUGUUUUACUGACCCACUCAAUUUUGGUUUUGCGCCCCUCCAGGUUCAGGAAUCACAAAGGUGUGGUGACUACGAGGAAUUCGACGGUGUUCUGACAGAUUGGACAAAAUUAGGACUCACCUUCGGGUGUAUCAAUUUAAAUUGUAUCUUAAAGCUUCCGUACUGUGCAAAUGGUUACGUCACUCUCACGUGACGGCCAGCAUGCCCUCCUUCGGGACGGGGUGUGUCAGUUGGUAUCAGAGCAUGGUUGCAAUCUUGGACAUUUUGAGAAGUUCUAGUGAAUUCUGUCAGAAACUACACCGCCUCGUAGCAAACCACGUAGUUAGAGGAACUUAGUCUCCCUGAUUUUUAGCGGGUUAGGGGAAACUAUUCUUAUGGUGAUUCAGUAUAUUAGAAAAAAUGGACAUUUUAAGACGGGUUAUGAGUUGAAUUUGAAUCACUUAAGAGAAAUGAUGAACCUGAGGGAACAAAGUGACAGAUUAACCAAUUGGAAAAGAUGUUUCGGAAUAUGCAAGUCAAAAGGAAUCUUCCUUCUGACAAGGGGUCGAGGACGACUACCUGGUUUUGGUUAUGAAUUUGUAUCCUGGUGGAAACAGGAGUAUGAAUUGUUGUCACCAGAGGAAUCAGUCGAUUGAGAAUAGUUUAAGGACUUGUUUAAAGGAAAAGUUUAUCCCUCCGGCAUUUAUCGAUGGUAGUAAACAAGAGUUUACAAAUAUGAGACAAGGAAGGUGAUGAUCGAGAGGAUAUUAUAGAAAGUUUUCAGAUUAGCCUCGUUCCAUCCAGAUAUUGUUUGUUAAUUUGGUGGAGGUGUUAUGUUGUUUUAAGCUGCUGGGUGACAAAAGGGAAGUGGUAUUUGGGUGACCACUAUCCAUUGUAGUUCUUAUCAGGAGUAUGCUAGAUGUUUGUUGAAUCUUGAGGACUCUGAGAACAUGAGCAACGAGAAUAAAGAAGAAUAAGAAAUGAAUGGGAAUUAAAAGAAGACGAUAAAGUUAAUGAUUCGUCAUAUCAAGGAUAUAGAAAGAUUCAGAGCUUCGAAAGAAGUGAAGCUAGAGUUAAUUCUUCCAGCUGAGGUUUUAAUGUCGCUGGUCAGAAUAAAAGUGAUGGAUAUACUGGUAAUCCCAGAUAUUUGAGACAAGGUGUCUCGAGUAAAGGAAAUGUACCUUGUGCUGCAGGUACAAAAAUUAACACUUUGGAAAGUGUGAAAUUAAUGAAUGUGUUUAUGUGAACAGAGGGGACACAGAAUUGUGAAUCGUCCCUAGAAUCAGUUGUACUCAAUAAUUUUCCAUGAUAUCAUAGUGUCGAUUCAGAAGAGUUAUAAACUUAGUAGUUUGGUCAGAUUGACUGUGAGUACAGAGAGAUUUGAUGAGUUAUAUGUUCAGCCGUACAGGCCACGAGAAGUGGAUUCGAUUGACACAUGCGAAAUUGGUGAGUUAUAGGCUCGGCCGUACCGACCACGCGGAGUGGAUCCGGCCGACGUAUUAUUUGAGAUAAGAGUUGAAUCAACCGUAUUGGUCAUUCUAGUUGACUUCGGCUGAUAUAUUUCUUAUGAUGUAUGUUAUUACCUAGAGAGUAGUAAAUAAAUGUAGUUGAGACGAGUGUAUGUAUUUUGCAUUGAGUGACAAAAUAGUAAUGUUAUAUCUUUGUGAGUGGUUGCCUACUUAUCGAGACAACGAUGAUUUAUCAGUAUUGCGGGCUGCAGACCGUAAUAUUAAUAACUCAUUCGUGGAUUCGUUAAGUAAGUAAACCGGUAGAUUAUUUUGUACUUAUUCAGAAUGCUUAGUAGUAAUAGAAUAUAUAUUGUAUCAGUUAAUUAUGUUCCAUUAGAUUGGUUGGUUAUAAUUGUGACAAGACGAAAUGUUAUGGGAAACCAGUACUUUCCAUCGAUCUGGAUGAACAGAGAUUACUUUUGUAAGUAUGCAAAAUGGAUUGAGUCAGGCUGUUAUUUAUGCUGUGUGAGAGCAAAGAGAUUGUUUUCGAAAGGCUGUAAAAAAUACUUAGCUCAUGUGGUGCUAAAUGAUGUUGUUUGGAGUAGUGUGAAUAAUGUCGAAAGAGUUAGACUUUUCUUGAUGUCUUCCUUGAAAGUAUACCUGGAUUGCCUUCAGGCAGAGAUAUGAGGUUCAUUAUUGAUUUGUUGCCAGGUAUAAAUUUAUAUUGGAGAUUGGUUCAUGAUGAGUUAAGGGAAUUGGAAAUUCAGUUGAGGGAAUUGGUUGAUAAAAGUUUUAUUCAACCUAGUACAACACUUUUGAGGAGCCCCAGUUUGUUGGUGAGGAAGAAAAUGGAUCUUGAGACUGUUCAUUGAUUAUAGACAAUGGAGUCGGGUAACGAUUGAGAACCGUUAUCCAUGGUGAUGUACUGAUGUUUAUUUAACCAGCUCAGAAGUAAUUGCGAAGAUUCAAAGAUUGAAUUGAGAUCUGGUUACUACCAAUUGAAUAUUAUAAGUGACGUUGAUCAUAAGAUGGUUUCUGGACUUGUUAUGGUCCUUAUAAAGUUUGGUGAUGCUAUGUGGAUACUCAUGCGGUUUUAUGAAUUAUUGGAUGAAGUAUUCCAAUAAUGCCUUGAUAAAUAGAUAUCAUUUUCAUUGAAGAUAUUCUGGCAUAUUCUGAGCCAGAGCAGAGCAUGUAAACGUAUUAAGUCGGUAGAACAAAGAUUGGAAGAAUGUCGAUUGUAUGCUAAGUUUAGCAAAUGCGAAUGUUGGAUGAAUCAAGCAGCAUUUCUGGGAUAUGUUAUAUAUUCUUAAGGUAUUCAAGUGAAUCCUUAAAAGGUAACAGAAAUUAAAAUUUGGAACAACCACGAGUCGUAAUUGAGAUUUGGAAUUUCUUAGCUUACCAGGCUAUCUUGGAUGGUUGUGAAAGAUUUUUCAGUCAUUGCUUUGUCAUUGAUGAGACUGUUGAGAAAAGAGGUUAGGUAUGAGUGGGAAGGAAUUGUAAGCAAAGGAUUCAACAACUGAAGUAUUUCCUCACUCAUGCACGUAUUUUGGUAUUCCCAGAGAAUAGUGGUAAUCAUAAAUUUUUAGUGAUGUUUCUUGAAUGGUAUUGGAGGCAUGUUGAUGCAAAUGUUAGGGUGAUUGCAUACGUUUCACGAUAAAUGGAAUCUCAUAAGAUGAAUUACCCUACUGGUGAUUUGGAAGUCACGAUUACCAUUCUUGCUGUGAAGUUAUGGAGACAUUAUAUUUUAGUGGGAAUGCAAGAUUUUUUUUUUUACGAAUCCAAAAAGUCUUCAAUAUCCAUUACUUGGAAGGAUUUGAUAUGAGGCAGCGAAAGUGAAUUGUAUUGCUUAAUGAACAUGAUUGUACGAUCAGGGUGAUCGUAAAGUUUGUUCUAGCUGAAGCACUUGGUGAGAAGACUACAGUAAGAUUAAUAUCUGGCAUGUUUGCCAAGAGUAUCAUCUUGUGGAUUGAAAACCAACGGAAGAAAAAUUAAGAAUGGAAGAUCGAGAAGAAGUUAUACUUGUUAAGUAACAAGUUAGUACAUUUACUCCAGUGUUGAGUAACAACCUUUCCCAGACAGUGCAACACUACUUAUUUGUUUUAUGGAAAAGAGAAUUGGAUUACGGAACUGCUAAGUUUCUUAAGUAUGUUGGUUGUGCAGUUUCUGAAGUAACGCCAUAAGGACCAUGAAAUGUGUCACGUGAGUCGGUUUUUGAUGACUUGUGAAUGGAAUGUUUCUGGGUAGAGAAAGAUUCGAUCAAGAAAGAGUUUUAGUAGACCCUGAGACUAUGGAUGAGUCUCCUCAAAGUAUUCAGGUGAUUAAGUUAACCUGAAGUAACCAGGAAUGGCAAAAGAGAUCAACAGAUGGAUAUGCCACUAAUCAAGUGUGUAAGGUAAAUGGUUUGAUAUUUUUGGAAAUUUCACCAUGAACAGAAAUAGUAAGAUUCAGAAAGGGAGACAAGAUAAGUCUUGAACACAUCAGUCCGUUUUGAUCAUUAAAGGAAUCGACGAAGUUGCAUACAAGUUUGUGAUGCCUUCAGAAUUGGCUAAGGCACAUAAUGUAUUUUGUGUUUGAUGCGUUGUCACUAGGUGGCAGAUUUGUCACAUGGGAUUAUGGUGUAACUAUUGAGAAUUAAAUUGGAUUCGACUUGAUAAGGAACCAAGGACGACUUUGGAUUGGAAAAAGAAGGUCCUGAGAAUUAAGACAGAGUAAGUAGUAAAAGCUUUGUGAAGGAAAUCAUUCAGUAGAAAAGUAUGUGGGAGAAAGAGAAUCGGAUGAGAGAGAUUUACCCGAAGCUAUUGUUGGAGUAUGGUUGAUUUAGUUGGUUGCUGGAAUUUCGGGGACGAAAUUCUAUAAGGAGGGGAGAUUGUCACAGCCCGUUCCAAAAUAUUACAUUCGUGGCUGUGAAUGGACGAAAUUGCCCUUAAGAAAUACUAAGUAUGUGAAGCUCAAGUUGAUAAUUAUCUAAGUUCCUAAGUUUUGAAAAUAAAAUGGAAUUUAAUAAGGAUGGAACUUAGAUUUUUAGGUUAAAAUUUUGUGGUUUAGAGUUAGGGAUUAGAAAAGGACCACGUGGGAUCCCCAUUCCUUAUUUCCCUCCCCAUUUCCCGUAUACUGUCCUUCACACUCUCUCUCUCUCCUCCCUCACGAUUACUCUCAGUUCUCUCUCCCUCUCCUUCGAACUCACACGGACCACCACAAAACCACCUAAAACCUAUACCAACGACGAAUCUAACACCACCAUUGGAACCCUGAAGACUUCACGAUCACGAUGGUAUCCAUUUCAAGUAAGUUUUGCUUCGGAAAACCCUAGUUUCAAAGUUCCCGUGAAAUGGUACUGUUCAUGAUCUUUUAAAUGGUUACGAUUUAGGCUAAAACAAGAUCACAGCGAGCUUGGUGAGGUCCCAAGGAAGCUCGGAGUGCUUCGUUGGAAGUUUUUGGACGUAAGAACACGGAGAUCGACAAGUUCAAAGUUUGGCCGGAGCUUUCGAGGCUUUUUCCGGAGAAUACCCGGCGAGUUAGGAGUCGAGGUAGGUAUCAAUAUCUUCGUCUCGUCAAGUACUACAACUUUCCUUUUUGUUUCACUCAAUUUAGUUGAGUAUUGAAGAAGUUAUACUCAUUUGAAAAAUACCCAGUUUCCGGCGACCUCCGAGGCUUUCGAGGCAGUUUCCGGCCAAACCACGGCGAACUAGGUGUUGUGCAAGGUACCAUUCUCUUUGUAUAUUCCAGGGCUACAACUUUCGUUUUUGAAUCACUUGAUUUCGUUGAGAAAUGACAAAGUUAUGGCAAUUUGAAAAACUGCCCAGAAAACGGCCGCCGGAAAAACCAGUCCGGCGACCCAAGGAAGAAGAAGGUGCUACAGUAAAAAUAAAAAAUAAAAAUAAAAUUAUUUUAAAAAUAUGUCGACGUCCGUGACGUCGAGUAGAUCACUGUGGUAUAUUCAUAUACCUAAAUUGAACACCGUAUGAGAAAGUUAUUGAGGAUUGUUGGUUAGGUGUUCAAAUAACGUUUUAUAGUUUUCACAUUUAGGUGAAAAUGUGAAUUGAUGAUCCGACCGUUGGAUCAUCACCAAACUUUGAUACGUUGUAAUACGUAAUAUUUGAGGAUUAUUGGAACUUACGGAUUGGGAAUCCGAGUUACGGAUCUUCCGGAAUUGGAAUUGUAAGUCCAUAAUAUAAAAUGUUAACCGUCACUUAGUUUUGGAAAUUGACGGAGAUCCGACCGUUGGAUGGUAAUGAAAUUUUAGGAUGUUAUCCUAGAGAUAUAUUGUGGACCUCUGGAAGUUAUGGAUUUAAAAUUUGAGUGGCAGAUCUUCCGGAUCGAACUACGUAGUGACGUAUUUUAUAUAAGUAUAUAUAUCUAUCGAUAUGAAUUCUGAGGUUGGAUUUGAUUACUAUUCUAGGCGGCGAUCGUCGUGACGCCUUGAUGUGUGGUGCUAGGGAGUUGUUGGACGAACUCCAGGUGAGUGGGCAGUUUUGUUUUCCGUAUAUAUAUAUAUAUACUUAACGUUUUCCCAGAAAUUGAAAAUGCAUGAAAUUAUGUUUAAAAUGAAAUGCAUAUGAGUUAUGUGGAAAAACGGGAAGUGAAAUACCAUGCAUAGAAUUGAUAUGAAAAGUAUAUAGAAAUGUGAGUUGAAAUGCCAUGCAUGAAUUAAUAUAUGAUGCAUAUGUAUGAAUUGGUGCGGUGGACGCACAGGUAAGAAUUGAUUUAUGAUGCAUAUGUAUGAAAUGGUGCGGUGGACGCACAGAUGAGU
rnacentral:lncRNA from 1 species